AUUGAACGCUGGCGGCAGGCCUAACACAUGCAAGUCGAGCGAGCGGCGGACGGGUGAGUAAUGUAUGAGGAUCUGCCCGAUAGAGGGGUAUAACUACUGGAAACGGUCGCUAAUACCGCAUAAUCUCGUAUGAACCCAUAGGGGAUUAGCUAGUAGGUGGGGUAAAGGCUCACCUAGGCGACGAUCUCUAGCUGGUCUGAGAGGAUGAUCAGCCACACUGGGACUGAGACACGGCCCAGACUCCUACGGGAGGCAGCAGUGGGGAAUAUUGCACAAUGGGCGCAAGCCUGAUGCAGCCAUGCCGCGUGUAUGAAGAAGGCCUUCGGGUUGUAAAGUACUUUCAGUCGGGAGGCGUUACCGACAGAAGAAGCACCGGCUAACUCCGUGCCAGCCGCCGCGGUAAUUC
rnacentral:rRNA from 1 species